rnacentral:rRNA from 1 species
UUGGUUAAGCUAAUAAGAGCGCAGGGUGGAUGCCUUGGCACUAAGAGCCGAUGAAAGACGUGAUAAGCUGCGAAAAGCUUCGGGGAGGAGCAAAUAUCCAUCGAUCCGGAGAUAUCUGAAUGGGGAAACCCGGCUGAGAAGACCUCAGUUAUCCAUACGCCAAUACAUAACGUAUGGAAGGGAACCCGCUGAACUGAAACAUC